rnacentral:rRNA from 1 species
GCAUGAGUGAAGAAGGCCUUUGGGUUGUAAAGCUCUUUUAGUGAGGAAGAUAAUGACGGUACUCACAGAAGAAGUCCUGGCUAACUCCGUGCCAGCAGCCGCGGUAAUACGGAGAGGGCUAGCGUUAUUCGGAAUUAUUGGGCGUAAAGGGCGCGUAGGCUGAUUAAUAAGUUAAAAGUGAAAUCCCGAGGCUUAACCUUGGAAUUGCUUUUAAAACUAUUAAUCUAGAGAUUGAAAGAGGAUAGAGGAAUUCCUGAUGUAGAGGUAAAAUUCGUAAAUAUUAGGAGGAACACCAGUGGCGAAGGCGUCUAUCU